AGAGGAUGACCAGCCACAUUGGGACUGAGAUACGGCCCAGACUCCUACGGGAGGCAGCAGUGGGGAAUCUUGGACAAUGGGGGAAACCCUGAUCCAGCGACACCGCGUGGGGGAUGAAGGCUUUCGGGUCGUAAACCCCUUUUCUGGGGGAAGAAUAAGGUCGACAGGAAAUGGUCAUCCGAUGACGGUACCCCAGGAAUAAGCAUCGGCUAACUCCGUGCCAGCAGCCGCGGUAAGACGGAGGAUGCGAGCGUUAUCCGGAAUUACUGGGCGUAAAGGGCGUCUAGGCGGUCCGAUAAGUCACUUGUGAAAUCCCACGGCUCAACCGUGGAAGGUCUCGUGAUACUGUCAGACUUGGGUGUGGGAGAGGAGAGUGGAACUCACAGAGUAGCGGUGGAAUGCGUAGAUACUGUGAGGUACCCCGAUGGCGAAGGCAACUCUCUGGCCUACUACCGACGCUGAAGCGCGAAAGCGUGGGGAGCAAAGGGGAUUAGAUACCCCCGUAGUCCACGCCCCAAACGAUGUUCACUUGGUGUCGGCCUCUUAUCGUGGGUCGGUGCCGGAGCUAACGCGUUAAGUGUACCGCCUGAGGAGUACGGCCGCAAGGCUAAAACUCAAGAGAAUUGACGGGCCCCCGCACAAGCGGUGGAGCACGUGGUUUAAUUCGAUGGUAAGCGAAGAACCUCACCCAGGCUUGACAUACUAGUGGUAGGAACCUGAAAGGGGGACGACCCUGCCUUCGGGUAGGGAGCUAGUACAGGUGAUGCAUGGCCGUCGUCAGCUCGUGUCGUGGGAUGUAGGGUUAAGUCCCGAAACGAGCGCAACCCUUGUCGUUAGUUGCCAGCGGGUAAUGCCGGGGACUCUAGCGAGACUGCUGGUGAAUAGCCGGAGGAAGGCGGGGAUGACGUCAAGUCAUCAUGUCCCUUACGCCUGGGGCGACACACAUGCUACAAUGGGAGGUACAAAGGGCUGCAAUACCGUAAGGUGGAGCCAAUCCCAAAAAACCUUCCUCAGUUCGGAUUGAGGUCUGCAACUCGACCUCAUGAAGCCGGAAUCGCUAGUAAUCGUAGGUCAGCCACACUACGGUGAAUAUGUACUCGGGGGUUGUACACACCGCCCGUCACACCAACCGAGUGGGGGGUACCUGAAGUCGCCUUUUUGAGGGCGCCGAAGGUAACCUUCGCGAGAGGGGUGAAGUCGUAGCAAGGUA
rnacentral:rRNA from 1 species